rnacentral:rRNA from 1 species
GAUGAACGCUGGCGGCGUGCCUAAUACAUGCAAGUCGAGCGAACAGAUAAGGAGCUUGCUCCUUUGACGUUAGCGGCGGACGGGUGAGUAACACGUGGGUAACCUACCUAUAAGACUGGGAUAACUUCGGGAAACCGGAGCUAAUACCGGAUAACAUUUGGAACCGCAUGGUUCUAAAGUGAAAGAUGGUUUUGCUAUCACUUAUAGAUGGACCCGCGCCGUAUUAGCUAGUUGGUAAGGUAACGGCUUACCAAGGCGACGAUACGUAGCCGACCUGAGAGGGUGAUCGGCCACACUGGAACUGAGACACGGUCCAGACUCCUACGGGAGGCAGCAGUAGGGAAUCUUCCGCAAUGGGCGAAAGCCUGACGGAGCCACGCCGCGUGAGUGAUGAAGGGUUUCGGCUCGUAAAACUCUGUUAUUAGGGAAGAACAAACGUGUAAGUAACUGUGCACGUCUUGACGUUACCUAAUCAGAAAGCCACGGCUAACUACGUG